UCAUUCCGUCGACGAAAUGAUUUUGUGUCAAAACACAAAAAAAAAAUUCGUCUCCUCUGUCUGCUAUGGGUCGCUGAUUGCCAGCGCCUGCAGCUAGCUGUACUAAAGCUCCGGACCGGUCACGUAGUUGUUGACGAGUUGUUGAACUUGUCUUAGCUUAUAUUUCACGUUAUUCAUGCCUACAUGAGCUGCAUACAACUGCUCUAAUCGCUAGGAUGUGGAUGGACAUUGAUUUCAUUCCCAUUCAGCAAUUGGACUGAACCUGUACUGUAACACAGUAUGGAUGAGCUUCAUUCAAUUCCUCCAAGAGCUGUGUACUCUGUUCUGAUCAUUUUGAAGAUACUUGCUUGACAGAACUGGGCAAACGAUUCGUCUUAGACAGGAUGCUGUCCCAACCAUAUUUGAUAUCCCCCCUCGUCUUCAGAAGAAUUCACACAAGCCAGGGAAACCCCCGGAAGAAAGACGUUUCGAUUCAGCGAACAACCUCCCAGAUACUGCAAAGACACCUGU
rnacentral:lncRNA from 1 species